rnacentral:rRNA from 1 species
CGUACGCCUCCGAGUCUUCGGAUUCGGAGGGAAAGCCACACUGAGAGUGUGGCGCUCUUUGAUGGGCUCAUGUCCUAUCAGCUUGUUGGUAGGGUAACGGCCUACCAAGGCUUUGACGGGUAGCUGGUCUGAGAGGACGAUCAGCCACACUGGCACUGCGACACGGGCCAGACUCCUACGGGAGGCAGCAGUAAGGAAUAUUGCGCAAUGGGCGAAAGCCUGACGCAGCGACGCCGCGUGGGGGAUGAAGGUCUUCGGAUUGUAAACCCCUUUCGGGAGGGAAGAUGGGACGAGCAAUCGUUCGGACGGUACCUC